UACCCGCUGAGUUUAAGCAUAUCAAUAAGCGGAGGAGAAGAAACUAACAAGGAUUCCCCUAGUAACGGCGAGCGAACC
rnacentral:rRNA from 1 species